AUCCCUUCUUUGUGUAUAACUCGGGACAUUGAAUAUCGUAUGAUAUUGCAGCGCGCAAAUGGUACCGCAGGUCGGUGGACCGGGCUCAUCUUUGACAGAUGAGGAUACAUACCGAAGCCGCGUCUUAUAUAUGAAUAGCAUGAGGACAGACACGGGCUCUGCGUAUGCUUGAAGGAUUUAGCAGAAGUCCUUGACAAAAAGUCUGCACAAAUUAUGGAAGAAAUUUCGGAUUUGACACGCCUGCCAUCACCCGAACCCAGAACCUGUGCUUCUCCGGUCAAAGAAAGAGGAGGAGUUCACGAGCAUCGAUCGCACCAUGGAAAAAUACGAAUUGGACAACGAGUUUCUCUACCGUUUGUAGUCCAAUAUCACAGUACUAAGUCUUGCUGAGUUGAUAUCAAUGCGGGAGAAGAUGCGGUUAUCUUUUUGAUAUGGAAGCGGACACAUUAAAUAACGCUACGAAGAGAUCAUAUCAGACUGUGAAGAUAGACGUGUGAUACCUUACCUGCAUCAUGACCCGAGCGAUCAGCAGCCCGGUUUAGAAAUGAGCGGAACAUGUGUUUGGUUAAUCAACGCGUGUAAAUACACUAGCAGAGACAUAUAACCGAACAUGUGUUUGAAGACCAAGGAAACUCAGCAGUGGUCCUCAACCAAGUCUGCAAUUUUUGUUGGCUCCCAAGGUUGAAAAGUAGUACAAUGUGAAACAGUAGGAAUGGAAAUGUAAGAAAAUAAUGUAGCAUAGGCAGAAACUUGAAUUUUUCAGAUGACGUGAACUUCCAAUAUCGUGGAAAACACGGCAAGCUGCCGGUACCACUGAGAGAUCAACCUGAAUUAUCGCGCGGUUAAAACUAGUAAUGGAAAUUGAGCCACGGUUGUUGAUGCAGCUCGAGUCUAUUAGUUGUUGCUUUUUAAAGUUUGAGAGAAAUUAAGCACCAUAUGUAUGAAAGAACUGAAGAGCCAAACCAUGAAUUUCCUCGAUUUA